CGAAUUGCGAUAUGUAAUGUGAAUUGCAGAAUUCAGUGAAUCAUCGAAUCUUUGAACGCACCUUGCA
rnacentral:rRNA from 1 species